rnacentral:rRNA from 1 species
CCUACGGGAGGCAGCAGUGGGGAAUAUUGCGCAAUGGACGGAAGUCUGACGCAGCGACGCCGCGUGAGUGAUGAAGGUUUUCGGUUCGUAAAGCUCUGUCAGCAGGGAAGAAAGCACAUAGGGUCACUGAGUCAUAAGCUGAGGCUACCUCCGUAGCAGCCGCCGGCUAACUACGUGCCAGCAAACGCGGUUAUACGGAGGGGGCGAGCGUUGGGCGGGUUUACGGGGCGGAAAGAGAGCGUAGGCGGUGGUGUAAGUUGGAAGUGAAAUCCGAGGGCACAACUCUCGAACUGCUGUUGAUACUGUAUGACUAGAGUGCGGGAGAGGUAGGUGGAAUUCCUGGUGUAGGGGUGAAAUGCGUAGAUAUUAGGAGGAACACCAGUGGCGAAGGCGGCUAACUGGACCGGUAUUGACGUUGAGGCGCGAAAGCGUGGGGAGCAAACAGGAUUAGAUACCCGGGUAGUC